rnacentral:rRNA from 1 species
GACUCCAUGAAGCUGGAUUCGCUAGUAAUCGCGCAUCAGCCACGGCGCGGUGAAUACGUUCCCGGGCCUUGUACACACCGCCCGUCAAGCCAUGGAAGCCGGGAGUGCCUGAAGUACGCGACCGCAAGGAGCGUCCUAAGGUAAAACCGGUGACUGGGGCUAAGUCGUAACAAGGUAUC